rnacentral:misc_RNA from 1 species
AACGGUCUAUACCUGCGGUACCUGCGGAGGGAUCAUUACCGAGUUCUCGCCCCUCGCGGGGUAGACCUCCCACCCACUGUGAUCACUACCGUCGUUGCUUUGGCGGGCCGCUGGGCCCAGCCCACCGCCGGCUCCGGCUGGCGCGUGCCCGCCAGAGGCCCUACAAACGCUGGAUAUCAGUGCCGUCUGAGUACACAUGUUAAUCGUUAAAACUUUUAGCAACGGAUCUCUAGAUCGGAA